rnacentral:lncRNA from 1 species
GUGAAUUAGUGAACACAGGAGCAGUCCCCUGCCUGCUGUUCUCCUGGGGAUGAGCCAGCUGGUUUCUCCAAAGAAGUCACAUGAUUCAAAGGCAUCCAGGAAAUCUGACAGCCUGCUGAGGUGCCGCAAAGAGACAGGAGCAAACGAAAGUUAUUCCGCAGAUUUCCCAUUCCCAGGGCAUCCCUUGUCCAGGCGGGUGGAACCACAUCAUGUGCAAGGGGGCGGUCAUUAACGGGGCGAUCAUUAACGGGGCAAUCAUUAACAGGGUGUUCAUUUGUGUUCCAGGUGGUCAGCUCGACCAACGGGGAGCUGAACGUGGACGACCCGACGGGGGCACACUCCAACGCGCCGAUAACAGCGCAGGCGGAGGUGGAGGUGGUGGAGGAAGCGAAGUGCUGCUGCUUCUUUAAGAGGAAACGGAAGAAGACGGCUCAGCGCCACAAGUGACCGGUGCCUCCUGGGCCUUGCAGGAACCACCUCGCCUGCAGCUCCUGCCCUGUCUCACUGGAAGGGGCUUCUCUUUAGGGGGGAGGAGGAGGAGGCAUAGGAGGAAGAGAGAAAGAAAGAAAAAAAAAAAAACAAAACAAAACAAAACAAAAAGUGACAUUUUAAACCAAAAAGAGAAGAAAACGUUCCAAAACAAACCA